CCUGCAAAACGAAUCUAAGUUCCCCCUUAACCCUCUUUUCCCUCCCCAGACAAACCCAACCCAAAUGUGAUAGUUAAGGGCUAUUUAAAGGGGGUACAGCCCCUUUAAAAAAGGACACAACCUCCACCAGCGGAUAACCCCUGUACGCCCAACCCCGUGGGCCUUAAAGCAGCCACCCCCAAANNNNGCGUCAAAGCUCCAUCAACCAAAAACCCCCAAAACCAAUGCGACUCCCUACACCCACAGCAGGCCAACCUAUAACAAUAGAUGAAUCAAUGCUAGAACGAGUAACCAGGACACUAUGUCCCCCCAAGCGCCAGCCUGUAUACCAUUAACAGUAAAACCUCAAUAAUAACCACCCCACCAUUGAACCCACCCUGUCAACCCAACUCAGGGGCGCACACUGGAGUGAUCAAAAUCUACAAAAGGAACUCGGCAAACCUAAGACCCGACUGUUUACCAAAAACAUAGCCUUCAGCCAAACAAGUAUUGAAGGUGAUGCCUGCCCAGUGACACUAUGUUUAACGGCCGCGGUA
rnacentral:rRNA from 1 species